ACCGGGCAUGGUGGCACACGCCUGUAAUCCCAGUGGCUCCGGAGGCUGAGGCAGGAGGAUUGCUCAAGUCCAGGAAGUGAGACUCUGAACCGGGCAUGGUGGCACACGCCUGUAAUCCCAGUGGCUCCGGAGGCUGAGGCAGGAGGAUUGCAAGUUCAUUGCCAGCCUCGGCAACUCAGUGACAUCCUGUCUCUA
rnacentral:sRNA from 1 species